rnacentral:rRNA from 1 species
UGUCUAUGCCAUACCACCCUGAACACACUGAUUUUAUCUGAUCUCGGAAACUAAGCAGGAUUCGGACUGAUUAGCACCUGGAUGGGAGAAAUAAAUAACCCCAAUUCUAUGUAAGCUCUUUAAGAACAUAGAAGA